rnacentral:lncRNA from 1 species
ACCUGAGAGGUGAUCUUGUGAACAAGAUCAUCAUAGUCUGGAAGAGUGAGGGGAUCUUGUAUUGGAAAUGGAAUAAAUUCGUAAGGGAGAGCAUAUGGCAAAGAUAGGAUGACUUCUUUGAAGACAUCUGCACAGAAACCAGUUGCUGUUACUGCUUGUGUUUUUGAAUCUCUUUCCACUUUAAUGAGUUGCUCCAGCCCUCCUUUGAGAGGAACUCCAACCCUUAACUUCUUCCCACUUGUGGGCAUUUCCCAGCCUCUUGGAACAAUAGUUGAUUCACCAGGCCAAAAAAUGGCUCCUAGUUGCUUAUUAUUACACUUAACUGCUGUUUUACCAUUCAUCUUCAGUUUACACGAAAUGCCAUCCCUCUUCGUCCAAAAUCCAAUGUUUUUCUCUCCUUUCCCAAUUAUAUUCACAAUCUGAUAUGGGAUUGGCUGCAGUUCUCCAUUGAUGAUACGGAAAUCACCACUUAAUCCUUGUUUUAGCACUGUGUUUCGCAUAGAGUCAAUGAGCAGAGAUCCCACUGCUGACGUUCCAAGUGCAUCUAAGUCUGUUAAGUUCUCUCUGGUGUCUGGUUUCUUUAAUUUUGGGAUAGCAGUAGUGCCUACUUUAUCUACUGCUUCUGCUAAUGAGGUGAUGCUAUCGUAUGCCCAUAGCCCAAAAACAUUGAGUUCUAUUUGGUCCAUGUCUGGAUACUCUUGACGGAAUCUCUUUCUCCAUCUCUUUGUGUAGUUGUUAAGCUGAUUUGAUCUUGGAAUGUAAGGUUUUAUACCAAGAACACCUUGCAUUGAUGACUCGAUCACUGAAUGAUCUACCAAGUCCAGAAGACUCGUUAGCACAUCUGUGAUGAUCCAUGCAUAUCCACUGCUCAUCAUCCCUGCUUCUUUGGCCUUGAGAAAAAGGCGGGAGGCAAGAUAUGGACGCAAGUGCACGACGAACACCCUUGUUUGCUUUGUAUUCAUAUUGUAUAACUCCUUGAGAAUCUGAUCAUCAUUGGCUGACGGAGAAAUAACACUUCUAUAGGAGACUAAAGUGCUGAUUUCCAGUAAGGCAUCAGUCAAAUGUGGAACUAUCCCGAACCCAUAGGGGCUAUCCUCAUAGAUGACCACAACCUCCCUCCAAUCAAAGUUUUUAACAAGUGCUGCAAUGGCCUUAGUCUGGCUGGAAGAAGGAAGUGCUGCUCUGAUGAAGAAGGGAUUUUCCUUGACUGUAAGUAAAGGACUUGUUGCUGGAGAAAUGAUUGGGACUUUUACUCUGUUCCCUAAGUCGAUCACAAAAUCAGUUUGUGUAGACAUUUGUGGCCCAAAGAUAGCUUGUACUUGGACAUCCUUUAGCAAGUAUAUGGCUGCACAUACACAAUCAGACAAUAAGAAUUUACCCAAAGUAAGAGUUUAAUAGAAGUGAAUCAUGGAACUGAAUUUACCAGCAGAUGUUGCUUCAACAUCAUCUUUCUUGGAAUCCUUGAUAUGAGGAACUAUCCUUAUGGCACCGCGACUAGCGUUGGCAUGAUAAUCUUCAAGUGCUAGUAAGAUAGAUAUGUGCAUUACUUUUCCCACAUCUGUUUCCAGAUCAAGAAUUAUACCCACAUCCACCUUUACAGCACUAGUGUUAUUAUCUUCACCUCUUAUUCGAACCACAUAGUGGUAAAAGCUAAUGAUGGAGAUAAGUUGAAAUGAAAAGAAUUAGAAAAGUGGCAUCUUGGAUUAUGCAUUUGAAAAAACUCUGGUAGCAAGUAGUCUGAGAGAUGGGCAACAAGCAGUUGUGCUUGUGCAAGAUAACCACACAUUCAGAAUGACAAUUUUCCUAUAAUUAAUAAGACCAAACUCCAUAAAUGAAGAAAGAAAAGUCAAAGAACAAAUGGUUGAAAAUCAAGUAUUCGUUUGAUUAUUGAAAGUGAGGACUUUUCACAUAUGCUACAACCGCACAGCUAGUAAGCAUAUUACCCCUCAGGUUUGACUAAAUAAAAAUUUGACAAAAUUGAUUGGUACUCAUUCCCCAACACCCAAUUACUUUUUGUGUGUACUAUCUAGAGGAUAUAUUCAAGGGAACUUACAUGAAUUCAACUAAUUUAGGAGUUAAUUACUUAAAUACAUUGUAGUUUGCAAUAUUACGUAUUUUACUAGAUUUUGGUAUGUCCAGAUACAUUCAGAUACAUAUAUGUGAGGUUACUUAGGAUCAAAAUUAGGUGUAAUUUGCUCUAGAUGCAUUGUAUCUAAGUGACUUUGCAUGUAUCUGGGAUACAUAACAAAUCUCGCUCGCCUCUCUCCCAUCUCUCACUCUCCUAUGUAUCUGAUAUUCCAUAUACAUGUGAAUCACACCAGAUACAUACACAUAAAUGUAUCUUAUGUGUAUAUAGUGUGAUUCGCAUGUAUCUGGGAUACAUAACAAAUCCCGCUUGCCUCUUUCCUCAUCUCGUUCCCCUAUCUUCCUAUUUUUGUGUAUCUGAUGGCAAAAAUUCAUGUAGCCAAAUGUAUUUUCCUCAAUAUAUGAUAGGAAACUCUUAAUUAGUGAUAGUAUACGAAAUAUUUUAAAAGUAUAGAAUAUAAUAGUAUAUAUGAUAGUGAAGUAUGUCUAAUGAUAUAGUUUUUCUGUAUUGAAAGGACUUCCCAAAUUUUGGCUGAGGCAUAAAAAGUUGACAAAUUUAGCUCAGUUACAAAUUCCACAAUUAAACCAAUAAGUAGAAGAGACCAUUGUUUUCCAACUUGGACAAGGCUAGAUACGACUAGUAAUCUUUAGUUUACGCGUUUUCAGUUACUAGUCUUUGGACACGUGCGUUGCACGUAUAUCCCAUAUUAUAUGGUUGCAUAAUAUAUGUCUAUAGUUACAAAUAUAUGUAUAAAAAAAAAUUGAUUGUGAUAUAAAUUGGAAAACAUGUAUAAGAUAAGAAAUCAAAACAGAUACCCUCAAAUUUCAAACUAUAAGCAUAAUAAGAAUAUGUAUUUCUAAUGAGUUUAAUCAAUCAUACCUUGCAAUAAUCUCUGCAAUUCAUUGAGAAACUUUCAAUCCAUACAUCAACAUUCAAUCGUGUAUAUAUAAAGAAAACUUGAAAUGCAUAACAACAAUUAUAUCUAUAUUUUUUAAAACACUAUAAAGUCAUUUUUUCUUUUUGCAUUAUAAUAUGGAUUGCACACAAUUUCUAUUAAAAAAAAGAAAGACAAAAUUAGGAAAAAUCGUAUCAAUAAAUUGGAAUGAAAAAUGUAAAAUUGUAAUAAGAGGAAGAGAAGAAAAAUACAGUAGAAUAUAUUACCUAACCAUGAAUAAGGAAGUAUGUUGAGUAAAAGAAGAGUAAUGCAAAAGUGUGAACUGAUAUAUGGAGGAAAUUGACAAAUAUAAUAAUCUAUAUUGAAUAAUGAAAAACAACUCUUCAAUUUCUGCAAAAAUUUUAUAACUACGAGCUCAAAAUAAUAUAAAUUUAUUAAUUUAAUAAAUGACAUAAAUAAAUAAAUAACAUAUAUUGUGUGUAUGUGUAGUUAAUGGGGUAGUGAAAAAGACUCUUUCUGAAAUUAUUUUUAUCUCUUUAAAGUAAUUUUGAACUUUUGAUAUUAGUGCUAUAGAAAAUCAUAUAAAGUCAUAAGCCACUGCAAGUUUUUAUAGUAAUUAUCUUAUUAAAUUAUAUACCUAUUAUUAUUUUUAAUUAUUUAUAAUCAUUCCGAAAAUGUAUAAAUUAAUUUUGAAAAGCUUGUAAAAUGAGAAAUUAUUAUUUCUUAUCAUUAUUUUAGCUAUUAUUAACAUUUAGUAUGACAACAUUUUAAAAAAGCAGCUUCCUUUAAAUAUUAAUUGUUUCUAAAUUAACAUAGCCAAGAAUUUAAAAUGUUGUGACGUUUUGUUUAUCUAAACACGCAGAAUUUUGUUUUUGAACCUGGAACAUGUAAUUAAGCCUUGGGUGAAUUAUAAUUUUAUUUUUACUAUUUAAUUAAUUAAAUAAUUUGUAACAUUUUAAUAUAAUGAAGGGGUAAAAUGGUAACUCAACUUUAAAGGUUGGAGCUUCCCACUUUUAGUAAUAUAUGAUAAAUUGGUCAGUAGUAGUAACCUAGUUUAAUUUGAUAUAAUAACAUUCAUGACAAAAUAAAUUAAAUAUGGCUAAUUAAGAAAAUAUAAUUAAAUAUGAUUAUCUUUAAUGUUAUUUAAAUUUGUAGGCGAUUUUUUUUGUAUUUUAAAAUUAAAAAAAGGCCAAAAAACCCACAAAAAGAGAUAAAUAGGAUUGAAGCCCUUAGAGAGCGUCACCUCACCGUUUUCAUAUUCAACUUUAUUAUUAUAUAUGGAUUUAGAUUUUUGCACAACCUUAAAUUUAAGGACACAUUUAGAUAUUAUAUCAAACAUUCAUUUAUUUGAAGUUGAAAUUACAUUUUACAUGAAAAUUGGAUAUUCCAUAUUCACAUUGAGUAUGAAUCUUUUUGUUUUUUUUACAAAAUUCAAAAUAAAAAAAUACAAAACAUAAACUUAUAGAUCAAAUUUUACAUUUGACAUUUGAAAGUUUUACUUUUCAUUAAACGUUUUGUUAUAGAAUUUGGAAUCGCCCUUUGAAAUUAGUAUUUAUAAAUGAAAAUAUUGAUCUAGUCCUGUUGAAAUUGUGUCUGGCCUAGUACUUUUUCUUAUUAGAGUGAUUAUUGAAUUAGGUUUAAUAUCAAUUUUCUUAAUUAGUUUUGUCAAUUGGCAGUGCUAAGAAGAUGGGAAUUUACGUUAUAUUAAAUUAUCUUUACAUUAAUAAAAAAAGAAAUUGUUGUUAGUAUUAUUUGUAAUAUAAUUAAACAAAAAUAACAAUGGGAAGAAAAUAAUAAGUAAAGAUUACACGUUGUAUUAAAAUAAUAAGUAUUAAAAAUUAUGAUAAAUUUUAUAAUAGUCAUAACAGGAAUUUACGCAAUAAUUACUAUAUUAGAAUACUAGAAAAAUUGAUAAGUUCCUCGACAUCUAAUCAUUGAUUAAAAUUUAAAUUAUUAUUUUCUUCUGCGAAAGUUUAAGAGAUUAAAUUAAUGUUUUAAAAAAUAAUAUUAAUUAUUUUCAAUGAUUAAUAAGAAAAUGUAUAUAGCAAGUACAUGUAUUAUUAUUACAUUAUUUAUAUCCACUCUAUAUUAAAUCAUUUUUCUAUUAUAGUUUGACGCAAAUUUCAGAAUGUAAAGAAUGUUUUGGAUUCGAAAAAUAAAUAUUCAAAAUAUACUAACAUGUCAUUUAAUCUUAUGAUAUUUUACAUUUCAUGUGAAAAAAAAUUAAAUAUUAAUUUUUUAAUAUGAAAAAUAUUAAUUUAUUAAUACAACAUAAAAGUAAUAAAGGACAAUAUAUAAAAAUAUUUGAAGUAUUUGAUAUUUUAUUAAAUUAAAAUAAUUCUAAAUUAAUAUAUAGCCGCGCAACGCGCGGGUACGUAUACUAGUGAAGAACAAUAAUAAAGAAGAAGACAAUUGAGUUAAUAUUUAUUUUUUCCAAGUUUAAUUUAACACAUGACCAGUUUUUAUUGGUCAGUGCUGUCAAAAAGUUGCACCCACGCGCCUAAAAUAGGUGAAAUCACGGACUCAGCCACGUAGGCCAAAAAGUGGUAAACAAUUAACUAAAAAAUAAGUUCAGGGGGGUAAUAGGACUUUAGUAAAGGUUAGGUGUGUCUCAGGGAUUUUGGGCAUAGGCUGGGGGGGUACUUAUGCAUUUUCCCUUAUGUUAAAUAUACCAAAAUGUUUUUUAAUCUUAUGACUUUAAACAUGUCACGUGAAAAACUGAAAUUAAAGUGUUGCCAAAAAAAGAAGGGUCAUUUUUUUUAAACAGACUAAACAGAAAAGUAGAUCUUUUUAAAACGGAAGGGAAGUAAUUGUUAAUGCAAGAGGAAGCUGCUUGAAAAGUUACGUAUAUGAUGUUGAAGUUGUCUAACAUGCAAUGCUGGUCCUAUAAUCUUUCAUUAUUUAUUAUCCAUGACUAUGGGUGGAUAAUAAUAGUUAUCUGCUAUGAUCAUAUAUACCUAGGGGUGGACAUAUUACUUAGAAAACUUAUGUUAGGUAAUUUUGAUUUCUAAAAAUACUAUAUGGUGUAUGCUAUUUGCAGAUGAUAGUCCUAAUCGACCAGACUCGUAAUAGAGUUAAUGUUAAGCUAGAGAAGAUAAUAAUGGCUCCCUUCUCAAAUAUUUCAUUGGUAGAAAUUUGCCUUCCAGAAUUUCAUAAUUGCAUCUGAUCCUUUCUGAUAACUCAAAGGGCAUCUUAAAUUGGUGCGGAAGUUUAAUUUUGACAUGGAACGCAAAUAUAUGCGGAAAAUUAGUAAUUCAAUAAAUAUUUAAUUAUGAAUGCAUAUUACAAAAGUGCAAGGAAUUCAAUUGUAAGAUGUUGAAGGUUAAACCCAUAAAUUCUAAAUACUAGAGACGCCUCUUAAUGCAAAUAUAAUAUGGUUUAACUAUUUUAAACCUGGCUCAUCUCUCUUAAGUUGUCCCUGUAAUGUUUUCAUGAACUGGAGUUCCAGGUUCUGUUGUAGAGAACCCUUCAAGUGCAGGGGAUGCUCCUAAGCCGUCGGAAAUUCUGAUUUCUGGGCUUUGCAAAGGAAGGUGGGGCAAUAUUUCAGUAGAGGCUUCACUUUCUGCAAACAGCAUAGCUGUUUGGAUUUCAUUGCCUUCAGAUGGCUCUUCUGACAUAGAAUUAGAGUUGUCUCUCUCUUUAUCAAAGGCAUUUGCUAUUGCAGAAAGCUUUUGCCAUACUGAAUCAUCAGUGGCUAAGAUUUCUCUAUUCUGAUAAAGGAAGAUGAGGAAGAAUAGGAGAAGAGCGGAGCCCGCUGAUACACCAGCUAUGAGGAAAAGGCCCUUAAAACUAUCGAGCAUGAGGCUAGAUGCUAUAGCCAUUCCAUCUUGCUUUGGACAAUCUGUUUCAUUCCCAAACCAUUUCUGUAUUAUGUUAUUCAUAAACUCUCCUUCCAUCACCUGCAAGACUGCUCUUGAGACGUCAGGUACCAAAGGAGAUCCUUUUGGAAAUGCCUGCCAGAAGUUGGGGGAAAAUAAAAGAUUAAAUUAUUGAGUAGAACAUAAACCAUUCUAAACAAAUGUAAACACGUUCUGAAACAUCACUGGAGUGCAACAUUCUUACGAAUCCAAAGCCAGCAGCCUUGUAUGUCGGACCGACCAUAAUAUACUUCCUGCAAUACUUGUUGAGGAAGAGUCUGAGAUAAGGUAGUUCAUCAACAAUUGCACCAACACCUCCAUUUUUACUUCCUCUUGAGAGGGCAUUACUAUACUCUUCCAAUGUGCUAUAACUUAUGAACUUGGAACUGUCAAACUUCAUGUGCUUCAAGACAUCUUUGACAAAGGAACCUUCUUGGUACCCAACAUAUUCUCCAUUCUUGAUCAGAUCAUUGAGGUCAGUUAUAGAAGGUUGGAGCUGUUGCACUGUCAACAUAGAUGUUAAGUUGGCUGUAUAACUUGAUGUCAGCACCAGAACCACGAAAACCCACACAAUCAGCACAAAUCUUGUGAAGUUACUAGUAACCCUCUCUCCUGAAACAACCAGCCAUAUAUAUGAUUUGUUGAGAAACAAGGAUAAAUCCUAAAGCUUUUUGUAUAUAAUUUGCUUUGUGUUAGAGACUUACUAUGAGCAAAAACGAGAGUUGAGAAGGAAAACCAGAAUAUCAUCCCAACUUGCUUGUGUUUGGGUCCUCGAAACUCUUUGUUUACACGAUGUUCAAGUACCCAAACCACAAAACCAAUGAAGAUGAAGAAUCCUCCUGUUGUUAUCCAAAGCUCGCUCUUUAGAGGUUUCAAGAAAAUCCAAGCAUUCUUUCUAUCAUCAUUCUUUACCGACACAACAGCAGAAAUACCGGACUCUGAAAAAGGUAAUGUGAAAUCCACAUACUUGGCUCGGCUCGCUAAAAUGGUCACAUCACCUACAACUGCAUCAUAUUCCUGGUUCAAGCAAACAACGAUUAUUUUAGUAUAUAUGGUUGAUCUCAGUCAAAGAAGAAAGUAGAUAUGGAAGUCCCGGAAAGGAGCAUGUAAGGUAUUCAGCCAAAAAGGUUAAUUCAAAAAAGAAUUGGAUAUUACCUUUGAGGAGAUCUUGUAAACAAGAUCAUCAUAGUCUUGAGAAGUGGGGCUAACUAUUGGAAAUGGAAUAAAUUCGUAAGGGAUGGCGUAUGGCAAAGAUUGGAUAACUUCUUUGAAGACAUCUGGAAUGAAACCAGUUGCAGUUACUGCUUGUGUUUUGGCAUCUAUUUCCACUUUAAUGAAUUGCUCCAGCCCUCCUUUGACAGGAACUCCAACCCUCAACUUCUUCCCACUUGUGGGUAUUUCCCAGCCUCUCGGAACAAUAAUAGAUUCACCAGGCCAAAUGAUGGCCGCUAGUUGCUCAUUCAUACUCUUAGCUGUUUUACUAUUCAUCUUCAGUUUAUGCGAAAUGCCAUCCUUCUCGGUCCAGAAUCCAAUGCUUCUCUCUCCUUUCCCAAUUAUAUUCACAAUCUCAUAUGUGUAUAGCUGCAAUUCUCCAUCAAUGAUACGGAAUUCACCACUUAGUCCUGUUUUUGGCUUUGUAUUUCGCAUAGAGUCAAGGAGCAGAGAUCCAAAUUCUGAGGUUCCAAGUGCAUCUAAGUCCGUUAAAUUCUCUCUAGUGUCUGCUUUCUUGAAUUUUGGGAUGAUGGUAGUGCCCACUUUUGCUAUUGCUUUUGUUAAUGCGGUGAUGCUAUCAUAUGCCCAUAGCCCGUAAACAUUGAGUUCAACUGGGUCCAUGUCUGGAUACUCUUGACGGAAUCUCUUUCUCCAUCUCCUCGUGUAAUUGUUAAGCUCAUUUGAUCUUGGAAUAUAAGGUUUUAUACCAAGAACACCUUGCAUUGAUGACUCAAUUACUGAAGUAUCUACCAGGUCCAGAAGACUCGUUAGCACAUCUGUGAUGAUCCAUGCAUAUCCACUGUUCAUCAUCCCGGUUUCUUUGGCCUUGAGGAAAAGGCGGGAGGCAAGAUGUUCUUGCAAGUGCACAAUGAACACCCUGGUCUGCAUUGUCUUCAACUUGUAUAGCUCCCUGAGGAUUUGAUCAUCAUUGGCUGAAGGAGAAAUACCACUUCUAUAGGAGACUAAAGUAUUGAUUUCCAGCAAGGCAUCAGUCAAAUAUGGAAGUAUCCCGGUUCCAUAGGGGCUUUCCUCAUAGAUUACUACAACCUCCCUCCAAUUAUAGUUUUUAACAAUUGCUGCAAUGGCUUUAGUCUGACUGGAAGAAGGAAGUGCGCCUCUGAUGAAGAAGGGAUUUUCCUUGACUGAAAGUGAAGGACUAGUUGCUGGAGAUAUUAUAGGAACUUUAACUCUGUUCCCCAAGUCGAUCACAAAAUCAGUUUGUGUAGACAUUUGUGGCCCAAAGAUAGCUUGCACUUGGACAUCCUUUAGCAAGUAUAUGGCUGCACAUACACAAUCAGACUAUAAGAAAUUGUCUGAACAUCUCUUUUUCAAAAUAGGAAAAGUAAUAUCUUAGAGAAAAAGUGAAUCUUUUGAAGCAAAGAGAGAAAAAUAAUCCUAGUUUAACAUAAGUAAAGCUUAGAGCUGAAUUUUACCAGCUGAUGCUGCUUCAACAUCAUCUUUCUUUGAAUCCCUGAUAUGAGGAACUAUCCUUAUGGCACCGCGACUAGUGUUGGCAUGAUAAUCUGCAAGAGCUAGUAAGAUAGAUAUGUGCAUUACUUUUCCCACAUCUGUUUCCAGAUCAAGAAUUAUGCCCACAUCCACCUUUACAGCACUAGUGUUAUUAUCUUCACCUCUUAUUCCAAUUACAUAGUGGCAAAAGCUAAUGAUGGAAACAAGUUGAAUGAAAAUAAUUAGGAAUUUGCAUCUUGGAUUAUGCAUUUGAAAAACUCUUGUAGAAAGUAAUAUGAGUGUUGGGCAAGAAGCAGUUGUGCUUGUGCAAGAUUUAUAACCACCAUUCAGAGAUGUGUUUAAAGGUAUCUUAACUAUAACUUUUCUACAAUUAAAUGAGACCAAACCUCAUAACUGCAGAAAGAAAAGUCAAAGUUUUCAAAGAAUUACAAAUGGUUUAAAAUAUACUAGUUUGAUUAUUAAAGAAAGAGGACUUUUCACACUUGUUAGACCACAAGCUAGUAAAGCCUCCUCAGUUUUGACCAAAUCAAUAAAUGACUAAAUGAACAUAGUGACAAAAUUGAUUUGUACUCAUUCUCCCAAUACCCAAAGAAGUUUUUGUAUUCAUUGGAUGACUAUCUAGAGGCUACUAAAAGGACUUCCCAUAUUUUGGCUAAGUCAUGUUGAAAGUUGAGUGCUAGCUCAGUUACAAAUAAGUAGAAGAGGUCAGUUUCUAUGACUUGGACAUUGGAAAAGGGCAGCUAUGACUAGUAAUCUUUAGUUUACUUAGACGGUUCAGUUUAGAAUUGGUCAGUAGUAUAAAACUUUAUGGUGGUAGAGGCACAACUUGUAGGGUUGUUCCGGGUUAUCGUUAAAAAAUCAAAUCAAACUUGUAGGGUUGUUUGGUUAGGUUUUAAAUUUUGAAAAUCAACACUAUUUGGUUUGGUUUGGUUUUAAAACUGUAAAAAUAACCAAAUUGAACGUGUAAUUAUAAUAAUUGCUUGAUUGAAUCCACAGUAACUUUCAUGUGUAUUGUUCAUGUACUAGGUGUCUGUGUUUAUAUGUCUUCAAAAAAAUUAUUACUUCCAAAACAAAAAAACAAAAAAAAUUGAACCAAACCGACAAUUAUUUUUUUAUUUGGUUUUAGAAUUUAGAAACCGACUAAAUUGAUCUGGCUUUGAUUUUAGCCAAUAAUCAAUCCAAAUCGAACCAUGAACACCUCUAGGCACAAAUAUAACUUGGUAUGUGAAGGAUUACUAUAAUACCUUUCCUUCAACUUUUUUUUAAAAAAAAAAAACCUCUAUUGGUAAAUUUUUCAAAUCAGUUUUUUUUACUCAUGAGCUCUAUUCCUUUCCCUUUUAUAUUUUUUAUAAUAUAAAAUAUAAGAUAAAAUAAAGAAUUUUUUUAAAAAGAAAUGAGAAAAAAAAUGAUGAAGAUGAGGGGUGAGGAGCUAAAGGAGAGAAGAAAGAUAGAACAUAAGAUGAGAAAGGUAGGGUCCCCAUAUUUUCUUUAUCAAAAAGUAAUUUCUUACCUACCAAAGUCAUAUUUAUGCCUCUACCACCACAAAUUUUUUCGUAUUAACUUGCUUGCAAGUUGCAAAACCAAACAAAGCAAGCAUACCCAAAUGGAGAUGGAAUCUUGGAAUGAGGAUGGUUGGGUAUACAUGUAGGUUUCAAUGUCAUUAUCUCAAUAUAUAUAUACUAGAGGGGCAUGGCCCGUGCUAAGCACGGGCCCAACAUAAACAUAGUUAGUCUAUUAUUCUCUAUAUAGGCAAAAUAUUGUUGGAAACUAUUCACUUAUAUAAGUAACUAAUUCAAGUUAUGUGUUUGUUAACAAAGUUUAUUCAUUCAAGCAUCUGCAAACUAUACACCAUACCAAACCACCAAUAAAGAAAAAGACAUGAAAUGUUAACACAAAUUAAACAACUUCAAAAGAAAGAAAGAAAAGAAGAAGAAUCAAGGAGGUGAAAGAACAUUAAAAUUUUGCAGUCUUAUCAGUCAAAUUCUAGUGGUGUCACAACUUUCACAGGGACCAUCAACUCUUCAACUUUUUGUACAUAUUUGCUUUUCAGUGCCAAUAAAUUAUUAUCUGUCGUUCCUGCAAGUUUUUGGAAAAAGUGUAUCAACAAUUGAUGCUAAAGAUCAUAUACUUUGUUUUGUAUUUUAUUUUACCAAGUAAAAAAGUCAGUAAUUGAUAUACCUAAUUUACUGCACUUAAGACAUUCUAGCUUCUAAAUCUAAUAAAACAAUACUAAUGAACACUUUUAAAUAAAUGAAAGAUGAUGGUACCUAAGGGAUGGAGUAAAUGAAUCAUGUGAAGUAAGCAAAUUGAAGUCAAAGUGAAUGUGUCAAUUACGUGGCCAUUAUAUCAAAUAUUUGUCAAUUCUAACCAAAAAGAAAUUGUUAGACAGUAAAUUUGUAAAACUUUAUAGAAAAUGACCUUUUAUUUUGUCUAUUUUGCCCUUUCAUGUGCUCCUUCAUGUCGCUUCCCCUUUCCAUUUUGUCGUCCCUCUCAUCUCAAUUCCCGUUUUGUUGUCCUCUCUUCCCAAUACUAUUUUUAUCCAGCUUGAUCUGGAAAAGAGGUAACUGACAUAUUAGUGUACUUAAUUUGGAACAAAAUCACUUGGAGAACAAUAAAGUAGGUAAUAAACACGAACAAUACUUAGACUCUGAAGUCUUGGUGAUAGUUAAGUAGUAGAAUGAGGAAGAGAUUAUACAAAUCAAUAGAGUUCAAACAACAACAUAUCUUAUCAAAUCUUAUCACUACCUCGUGGAGGUAGAGGUACUCUUUCCGAAAGAUCAAAUCACUGAUCUCGAUAGUUAUUGUUGAGUAGUUAAUACAUAAAUCUCUCCAGAGUAACAAAAAAAGGGCAGAUAGGGAUUAAAAGAAAUUAAGAAAAUGAAAUACGAUGCUACAUUUCUCAAGAGUUAAAAAGAGGGACAACCAAUUUGAGUAGUAGAUUCAGGUUGAUGGUGAUCUACUAUACAACUAAAUGGUGCAACAACUCAAAAUCUCAAGGAAAACAAAUCAAGACAUUCUUGCAAAUUAAAGGCACUAAUAAAACUGCGGCAGAAAUUCUCGUGACUGUGUGGUUCUAUAUGGAAAAUGACUUCCACAUGCUUGGUCUUAGCAAUACGCCAUGUGCACAAGGAAAAAUAUAUUAUAACCACGCGUUUCUUGUUACCGAUAAACAUGACUUAUGAGAAAGUCAGUUUUUAAGAGAAUUCGAAGAACAACAGGAUAAGAAACUACCCUUUCAUUUACUUUCUCAAACACUUAAUAAGGCUUCCGUUUUUUCAACAUUCUUGCAGAGUUGAUUGUGGAGAUCAACAAUUCAUCCAUUUGACCAUUAUCACUUGUAGACACACUAAACUGACAAAGAGUCUUAUAUCAGGGGUGUAUAAAUGAAAACCCCUUCUUUUCAUAUCUAUUUGAAUUGAUUAAACUUGUCGCACAACAAAUAGGAUCAACGUUUUCAGUAAUCAAAGGAAAGAAAAAAAUCUACAUCAAAGGCAUGUUAUAUGAAGUAUGUGAAAUAAGGAUUGUAGAAACGAAGGAGAAAUAAAGAUUUGAUUAGCUUACCAUUCAAAGUAAUUGUAGACAAACAAAGAAGAAGUGAAUAUUUGAUCACCGCUUACCGUUCAACUCAACUGUAGACAAACGAAGAAGAAGUGAUUGACCCUUAAUUUGGAAUCAAUUGAUUUUUUACUAUAUCUCGAUAAAAAAUUUAAUUUAUGUAACUCAUUUCUAUAUAAACAACCAAGAUGCUUAGAACAUACAUAACAUAUUCAAUGUGGCUUACUUCUAUAAAAAUCAUAAAUAAAAUAUAAAGGAAAGCUUCAAACUCUACCUAAUUAGUUCAUAUGAUCAGCAAAAUCCAAAAAACUUGAAAAAAGAAACAAAUUUGUACUCUCUUGCAGAAAUAAGUUUUGUCUUUUGGAAACAACCUCUCUAUCUCCACGAAGUAGGGGUAACAGUCUACGUACACUCUACCUCCUCAAACCUCACUUAUGGGAACUACACUGGGUAUGUUGAUGUUGUUGUUGUUGAAAUAAGCACAAAAGACUGGACUCUCACUAAAACUUCCGUAAAGAUCAAAUUCUUAAGUUUCAUUCUGCAACUAAAAAUCCCGAAAAUGAAGAAUCAGAUUACUCACAUUGACAAAAGUGGGGUAAAAAAUAACUUGAGCUUUGCUAUUCAAAACAUCAACAACUUCUUCAAUCCCAGAAAGUCUUUUAAUUGCCUUUAAAUGCCUAGCACUAUUUUUUUAAGAAGAAAUUACUGAACAACCUUAGUGAAAAUUCCAAAUUCGCCAUUGCAUCCAACCCCCGUCCCAUCCCUGGACUAUCCUACACCAGCUACCCUUAAAUCCUCACCCAUCCAUCCCAUUGAGUUUUGCUGGAUUACAACGGCCCCCAUCCCAUCCCUUGACUAUCCUAUACAAAAUGGAAAAUCUCUUCUCCAAGGAGUUAGGAGACAAUAAUCGACAUAACUAUGUCAUCUUAUAUAGGGACAAAAUGAAUACAAUCUCACCCUGUGGUCUUCGAAUCUAUAGUAGACAAACGGUAAGUAAAGAGAUAUUGUAUAACUGCACCAACUAUUCAUUAUUUCUGAAGUAAUACAGUGAGUGCAUCACAUGUUAAAGAAAUAAAAUUAAGUUUAUUACUUUUAUUCAUGAACAUGUACAACUCUUGAGAUGAACUUUAAUUUGUCAGUAAACUAUAAAAUAGAGGUAAUUUGUAAAGGCUUAAGCCUAUUGGAUUAGAUUAUGUUCUCCGUGGGGGCAGUUUUUCUUCAACUCCAAAACUGUAUACGUCACUUCUGGUGGUUAUAUGAUUUACAUAUGAGAGGCGACAAUUAGAAGCUGAGAAAAGAAAUGAUCUCAGGUUACAUGACAGAACAAACCAAGUAAUGUUACACUCCCAAUUUCUUUCAGGACACAUAGUAUUGAUAUUUGCGAGCAUGAAAGACUGAAGGAUUAAACAGAGGAGAUAACUCUUAAGAGAGACCUCAUCAAGAACUUAAGAAAAUUUGUGUGAUAAUUUAACAAAUUUAGCGAGGCUAAUUGAUGAAGGAAGUCUAUUCACACUAUAUUCAUUUUAGUGCACUUAUUGACUAAAUGUUUCCCAAGUUCGAAUGUGAGGCCUCUAUUUGAGGAUGUAAUAAAACAACAUUUACCAUUAGAACUAAUUGAGCAGCUUGUGUUAACCCUCUGUAUUUACCUGACGAAUAUGCUUUAAGGUGGAGGAAUUUUUUGCAGUAGUCUUCUAUUAAAACAUCAUUUAAGCUACCUAAAUGAAUGGACAACAUGUAGUUUUUCGACGCAGAAACAAAAAAUCUACCUAACAAAGAGACAGAUAUAUCAAAGAAGCCACAGGUCGAUAAUCAGAGUGUCCUAAAGAGUUACAUUUACAAAAGUUGAGGAGACUGGACACGCUGUCAAAUUAACUCAACACUGAUGCUGCAUUGAAAGUGAGAGUCCAUGUAAUGUGGAUACAAUUCAUUAAGUACACACAAAACAGUCAGCAACUAAUUUCAGUGAUGUGCAACAAAAUUCAUAUAACAUAGCCACCAAGUUGACCAUAAAAUCCAUCAAAACACAUUAAUGAGGAAUUCGUCUUACUUCAGUUUUGAAUUCCCCCGGCUUUUAAGUAUACAAGCCACAUUUUUACUGAAUUUUCUCUUCAAGUGCAGUAAAGUAGCUCAAAGAACAGAAAGCAAAGUUACAACUGACAACUACAUCGAGAAAGAGGCUACUAUGGACUGUCAAUUUUUACAUGUGAAUCCAAAAAUUAAGCUCGCAUAACAACGGGUAAUAUACCAAAUUCAUAUUAAAUUUUAGAUCAAACAACAUCAUUUAUCAUGCCAAAACAGUCUAGCUGUGCAACUUUUAAGCAAUUUGGAUACACUUAUAUCUAAAAAUUGGCUAAACUAUUGAUAAACGUACUAUCUAAUGCUGGAAAUAUGACAUAGUACAGUGAAUAUUGAUCAAUUUACUACCAUCGCUGCAUUUUGAUACUCCUUGAACAGAGAAACGGAUGGAAAUGGACCAGCCAAGCUACGCCUAAUUACACCAUCUCUAUCUUUUAACUACUUUUGUACUUGGCUUCCGAUUGACGCUCAGCUCAGGUAAAGCACAAGAACAAUUAGGAGUAAAUUGAAAUUGUAUAUUACCAGUGGUCAUAUACUCGGGAGUAGCACAACUGAAUUGUAUGGACAAAUCAUAAGAGGGCAACAGAAAUAUUGUUAAAACUUGUAGAAGACUAAAUUUUAAAGUAGUUUUAGAUACAGCAGCCAGCAAAAUGUUAGAUGAUUUGAAAUCCUGAUACAUAAUUUUAGCUUCUGGGCUGUGGAGAUAUGUCAGUCCUUUAGCUGCCUUGAGAGUAACCUUCAUUCGGAGAUUCUAUGAUAGCGGUUGGAAAUAAGCACUCCUCUGUUCAAGAUGUACCAAAGGUUUAUUCAAUGACAUUACACGGAUAAUAUUAGUGGAUGUCCUCAAAUUAGAUGUGGAUUCAAGAUUUCAAGUUUAUGGAUUUCUAUAAUGAACUAAGUUCAUAGUAAAAUAAAUUUCUUAUACAUGGUUUAGAAAAAACAAUUGGGUCCCCAUGAAUCUACAUAUCAUAUUGUGGAUCUGUUCUUGCGUUAAAUAUGCAGUUAUGGUUUCAUACAAACUAUACUUACUUCUGAAUAGAUGAUUUUCCAAACUUCCCCUCGGCAUGAAUUCGCACACCAGAAUCUUGUGUUCAUCUUCUAACCUGGCUCAGGUAAGCAAUUUUCGCCUGUAGUUUAAGUGUACAGAGAAAACAGUUAAUCAACUUAUCAAGAUCAAGAAUUAUAGGAAAGCUUCAAUGUCUUUGAUAAAACAAUCAUCGGAUAUUUUAAAGGGAAGAGUUUAUAUACCAAUCAUUCCUUGUGACCUUGAAAGCUUUCUUCAAGAAUUUCACUUUGACUUUGAGGAGUCAACUGAGCCGAUAAAUAUGAAUGUGAUCAUGGAAAUGAUGCCUAAUUAAUAUGUAUCUUUGUAUGUCUUCUGUCUGUUCCUAGUAAAAGUUGCACCAGUUUACAUCAAUUAAGUAAUAAACUGAAUAAGUUAUAACAUGACUAUCUUAUAGCUUAUUUCAAACUGAACACGUACAUCUUCAUUACGUUUUUUAAAAUUUAGUAGAAAUAGAAAUGUAUAAUGGUACCUGAUAAGCAAAUCAAAUUCGUGACUAUCUUCUUGGCUCAUUCGUUAUGGAUGAACUUGAAGUUUCAUAAUGAACUUACUUUCAGCAGGGUUAUAAGCAUCCAGAUCAUAAAAUUCUUCAGGGGCAAAUGGUAUAGGAACAAAUCUCUGAGCCAAUUUUGUAAUUCCCUCAAGGCGGUAACUAUUGAUUGAAAUCUGCAUUUUUCCAUAGCUUUCAGAUAAAUGAAUAAGAUGUGUUAAAAAUGGAGAUUGUUUGCUAUUUAUAUACCGAAACUUGCACUCUAUGAAAAAUAAAUAACUUAUCUUACAAAGAAUUCUUCAUGUUCAAAGAAAGUCUCCCGUGUCAUAUAAGCAAAUUAUAGUUUAUGUUUAUCUACAUAUACAUAUGUUAGUAUUCAACAUUAUAAUUCAACUGCAUAUCCAACUGGAAAAUUAAAUCAACUAAAGAGGGAGAAAUACUGGACUUUCCACAUAUGAGAAAGGGUUGUGAAAAUAGGGUAACUCUAAUAGCUAAUCCUUCCAGUUGAAAGUGUUUUUGAGAAAAAAAAUCAAAUUAAGUUCGAUGUACCUGAUAACGCUCAAUGUUCCCUGCAUGGCAUCUUCUCAAUUUCUUUCCUUUCCUUUCUUCUCCAAGUACUUGUAAAGUCCUAUUUAUGAAAAAUUAACAAAUUGAAAAAACACCCACAUCAAGAACAAAAGCGGAAGAAACACUACAUUUCAAUAAUCAAAAGCACAAAAAAUUGAAAUACAAAGCGGGACAACGGAGAAGAAGAGGAGUAAACGACCAUAACAACAACAUCCAAUCAAGUUUAGAUUCAGUACAUGCAACAUUACCACAACCUAAACACCAAAAUUGAUGAAUAAAAAAAAGUCGGAACUCAUCAAAUGAAAAAAUCGACAAAACAGAUCUAAAGUCAAAAGGCAAAACAAAAAUGAGAAGAAAGAAGGAAGGGAAGAAGCAGUGCAUACCUAGGAAGGUAUGCAAUUUAACUGAGAAUUUCAUAUGAGGGCUUGCAAAACCCUUCCAUUUUGCAGAGCAUUUUUUCUUGGGACAGAGAAUGGAUGCAGAGGAACAGGGAUAUAUCACAUAGCUAGGACACGUGUUUCACAGAUGAAUAUACAGAUACACAUUAGUUAGAAAGCAAUGAGUCAAAUUACCAAAUUAACCCUAUUGGUACAAUUAACUUGAAUUUUGGUACAACUUGUAUAUGUUGUGUUAGUCCGAACUCUUGUUGGCUGUAGAAGGACACGUGUAGCCCACGUGUUUAUUCAAUAGUGAAUAGGGCUUAAUGGUACAGUACAAUUUUUUAUACUAUUGGUACAACUUUGUAGAGCUGUGUUGGUACUCUUCUUGUUGGCUUAUAUAUAAGGGUAAAGAGCUGUGUUGGUACUCUUCUUGUUGGCUUAUAUAUAAGGGUAAAGAGCUGUGUUGGUACUCUUCUUGUUGGCUUAUAUAUAAGGGUAAAGAGCUGUGUUGGUACUCUUCUUGUUGGCUUAUAUAUAAGGGUAAAGAGCUGUGUUGGUACUCUUCUUGUUGGCUUAUAUAUAAGGGUAAUAUAUAUACUCCCUCCGUCCCAAUUUAUGUGGCACCCUUUAUUUAUAGUCUGUUCCAAAAAACAAUGUCAUCUUACUAUAAUUAGAAACAAGGGAAAAGACUCAAAUAUGUUAUUGAAAUUUGAGAAAAGACUCAUUUAUGUCGUCCGUUAAAAGUUUGGUUCAUCUAUGUCAUUUUCGUUUGAGAAAAAACUCAUCCAUAUCAUUAGUUGUAAACUAAAAAUAAUUUUGGUUUUGUAAGAUCAUUUUAUACACGUGGUCAAUUAUGAUUUGGCCAUGUCAUCAAUUAAAUCAUUUCUAUAGAAGAGAAAAGGUUCAAAUAUGUCAUCGAACUUUGAGAAAAACUCAUUUAUAACAUCCGUUAAAAGUUUGUCUCAUCUAUGCUAUUUCAGUUAAUAAAUAAUGGCAUGAAUGAGGUUUUUCUCAAAUGAAAAUGGCAUAGAUGAGCCAAUUUUUUAACGAAUGACAUAUAUGACCUUUCUCAAAGUUCGAUGGCAUAUUUGAGUUUUUUCACUAGAAACAAUUUCAUUUAAAAUUCACUGUUAUCCUUAAUGAAAUUAUUUACAAACACACAAAUAUCUAAGGAUUGUUUUAAAUCACAAGUUUAAAAGUCUUUUUUUAAAAAAAUAAAUAUAUCGUGUCAAGUUAAACAAUGCCACAUAAAAUGAGACGGAGAGAGUAAUUGUUAAUGCAAGAGGAAGCUGCUCGGGAAGUUACGUGUAUGAUGUUGAAGUUAUUUGACAUGCAAUUGAGGUGAUCCUAUAAUCUUCCAGUAGUUAUGACUAGUAAAAUCACUCAAUUUAUAAAAUAAUACUUAAAAUAUAUGAGUCAUUAAAACUAAAACACUAUAUUAUCUUACAUAUAAGAUUACAUAUAACAAACAUUAAUAAUGUAAGUAAAAAAAAAUUUGAAUAUGUUAACAAAUUUUUGAAUUUUUUCCUCAGACAUAUAUCACAAUUGUAAAAUCUAUGCAACUUAAAUGUGUUCUUGUUCUUACGAAACGCCUUUGUGUAUAUAUAUUCUUAUUUUAUUCUCUCUUUUUUUCCUUUUAAUGAUGAUUAAAUAACCAUUAAUUUAUUAUUUCCUGAAUAAUUCAUUCAUUAGAUGUUCUUGAGUUUAUGUGAUAAUGACAAAUAAUAGUAUAGAUUCUUUUAAGGAAUUUUUUACUGUACCUUCAACAAUUUCAUGAUCAGUAGAGAAAACUUGCAUGAAUACUCAAUUAACAUGUGUUGUUUAAUCUGUACUAACAAAUACUUAAAACAAUAACUUUGUAGAAACAUAAACACAAGUUUAAAACAUGUACUCAAAAACAAUAAUUAAUAACAUAAGCAUAAAUUAAUGAUUGUAAAAAAAUAUACCAGGAUCUGUAAUAAUAGGAUGAAACAGAAAGGAAAAAACUGUACACGAAUAUUUAAUUGUGCAGAUUAAGAAGAAGAAGUUCAAAAUUUUCGUUUUUUUAAAAUGAGAGGAAAUCACUCUAUUUAUAGCUAGACAACAAAGGGUAGUGUGAACAAAUGUUUAUUGUGCCUUAUCGAAAAGGUCACAACUCUUUGGAAAAGUUACAACUGUUUGGAAAGGUCAUAACCUUUCAUAAAAGACACAACUUUUCAUAAAAGUCGCAACUCUACAUAGAAGUUACAACUUUUCAUAAAAGUCGCAACUGUUCAUAUAAGUCGCAACUUUUCAUAAAAGUCACAACUUUUCAUUAAAGUAGCAAAUUUUUAUGAAAGGGGAAGGAUAGUUUUGUAAAUAUAUUAAUUAAAAAAGGAAUCAUGGUUUGUGAUGGCGCCACGUAGGCAGGCCUAGGAUUCUCUUUUAUAUAUAUAUAUGAUAUAUGAUAUGAUUAUUUACUGUGGUCGUUUUCUGAUAUGAUCACAAUAAGAUAUAACCGUCUAUUAUCUUUUAAACUUGUUUUUCUUUUUAGUUUGCAAUAUAUUUUGGAUUGGUAACAUUAGUAGUAUUAAAUUGUUAACAGCACUAGUUUGCAAUAUUUUUGGUUUCUACAAACAUUAUUUGCACAUAUUGAAAGAAAUAUAUAUGAUAUGGUUUCAUUGAAUUAUAUCCUCUACAUAAGCAGUGAAGACAAACAAAGUACUAAUGUUAUUUAAAUUGUCUCUAAAAUUUUGAUGAUUUAACAAACUUUGAGAUCUAACGAACGACCAGAUUCCAAGAGAGAUUGAGAGUUCCGUUUAUGAAAAAAACAGCGGUCUAAAAGCUGCAACACCUGCUGUGGUUGGUGCACGUAUUUUGCAGCAGACAUUCAGCCAAUAGCAGGGCAUUGCUUCAAGAGUUUGGGUCCAUCCUAUAAUACACCUCUUUGACAUUGACACAAACUCAAGUUUUUGCAAUAUAAAAAUUCACAACAGCAAAAGUCAUUCUCUCAGGGAAAUAUUUCUCGAUAAAUGAUAGAGUUAUCAUCGUUCUUAUGUGUUUUUAGGGCUUAUAUUUCUGUGCUUAUACUUGUAAGAUCUAUUCCUACGUUAUAAAGGAAUUAGAUCAUUUGAAGUUUUUUCUGAGUAUUCCGAGUUAUAUCUAGAGUUAGUUAUGUUGUAUUCUUGAAUUCUAGAUCAACUAUAGCUAGUUGAUUUAGUGGGUCAUAGAGUUAUUGCUUAGUUUUUGAGUAACAGAGUUGUUACUAUGAGGGGAAGGGAUUAAGAGUUUAAUUCCUAGGUUACAAGAGUUUGUAAUCUGAAGCUUUGCACUUUUGAUGAUAAUGGAGUUGGGUUAAAUCCUGUGAGACAGACCGUGGUUUUUUCCUCCCUUGAACAAGGGGCUUUCCACGUAAAACUCUUGUAUUUGUUUUAAUUUGUGUUAUUUAUUUUCCACACAAUUUUUCUUUCAAGGGACUUGGUCCAUUGACCGUUAGUGGACGCAUACAUUCUAUGAGUACUAAUAAGAUUGAAAAAGAAACCACUAAGAAAAAGUUAGGGUUAAAUCCAUCAAAUGGAAUCCUGGAGCCACCUCUUGAUGCUAAUAUUCUGGCCAAGAUCAGUAACAAAGAUAUAAUGUAAUCUGGUUUAACUAACCCUAAAGCUAGCUCAUCUCUGUGCAAUCUCAUAUAGGGCCCUAUUCAGGUGUGUCACAAUUAUGGUAGUAGCUAUAUGUGUCAUCUUUCUUCAAUUGUGUCUGUAAUGGUUUCAUGAACUGGAGUUCCAGGUUCUGUUGUAGAGAACCCUUCAGCAGCAGGGGAUGCUCCUAGUCCGUCGGAAAUUCUGAUUUCUGGGAUUUGCAAAGGAAGGUCAGGCAAUAUCUCAGGAGAAGCUUCACUUGCUGCGAGCAAUUUAGGUGCAUUGCUUUCAGAUGGCUUUUCUGACAUAGAAUUAGAGUUGUCUUUCUCUUCAUCAAAGACUUUUGCAAUUGCUGUAAGCUUCUGCCAUAUUGAAUCAUCAGUGGCUAAGAUUUCUCUAUUCUGAUUAAGGAAGUUGAGGAAGAAUAGGAGAAGAGCGAAGCCUGCUGAUACACCAGCUAUGAGGAAAAGUCCCUUAAACCUAUCUAACGUGAGGCUAUCAGAUGUUAUAGCCGUUUCAUCUUUCUGUGGACAAUCUGUUUCAUUCCCAAACCAUUUCUGUAUUAUGUUAUUCAUGAACUCUCCUUCCAUCACCUUCAAGACUGCUCUUGAGACGUCAGGUACCAAAGGAGAUCCUUUUGGAAAUGCCUGCAAUAAAAGAUUAGAUGAUUGAGUAAACAACAAAUCAUUCUAAAUAUAUGUUAACAGUGUCUGAAACAUCAGUGGAGUGUACAAUCUUACAAACCCAAAACCGGCAGCCUUGUAUGUCUGGCCGACCAUAACAUACUUCCUGCAGUACUUGUUGAGGAAGAGUCUGAGAUAAGGUAGUUCAUCAACAAUUGCACCUACACCUCCAUUUUUGCUUCCUCUUGAGAGGGCUUCAUCAUAUUCUUUCAAUGUGAUAUAACUUCUGAACUUGGAGCUGUCAAAUUUCAUGCGCUUUAUGAAGACAUCUUUGACAAAGGAACCUUCUUGGUACCCAACAUAUUCUCCAUUCUUGAUGAGAUCAUUGAGGUCUGUUAUAGUAGGUUGGAGCUGUUGCAGUGUCAACAUAGAUGUUAAGCUGGCUGUAUAACUUGAUGUCAGCACCAGAACCACAAAAACCCACACAAUCAGCAAAAAUCUUGUUAAGUUACUUGUUACCCUCUCUCCUGCAACAACCAGCCAUAACAUAUUCUCCAUUCUUGAUGAGAUCAUUGAGGUCUGUUAUAGUAGGUUGAAGCUGUUGCACUGUUAACAUAGAUGUUAAGCUGGCUGUAUAACUUGAUGUCAGCACCAGAACCACAAAAACCCACACAAUCAGCAAAAAUCUUGUUAAGUUACUUGUUACCCUCUCGGCUCGCUAAAAUGGUCACAUCACCUACAACUGCAUCAUAGUCCUGGCUCAAGCAAACAUUGAUUAUUCCAGUAUGUAUAGUUGAUUGUAAUAGCAGAAAAUAGAUAUCGAAGUCCCAAAAAGGACCAUGUUAGUAAGAUAUAGAGCCAAAGAGGUUUAUUGGAACAGAGAUUAUAUAUUACCUGAGAAGUGAUCUUGUGAACAAGAUCAUCAUAGUAUGGAAGAGUGAGGGGAUCUUGUAUUGGAGAUGGAAUAAAUUCGUAAGGGAGAGCAUAUGGCAAAGAUAGGAUGACUUCUUUGAAGACAUCUGCACAGAAACCAGUUGCUGUUACUGCUUGUGUUUUUGAAUCUCUUUCCACUUUAAUGAGUUGCUCCAGCCCUCCUUUGAGAGGAACUCCAACCCUUAACUUCUUCCCACUUGUGGGCAUUUCCCAGCCUCUUGGAACAAUAGUUGAUUCACCAGGCCAAAAAAUGGUUCCUAGUUGCUCAUUAUUACACUUAACUGCUGUUUUACCACUGUUUUACUAUUCAUCUUCAGUUUAUGCGAAAUGCCAUCCUUCUCUGUCCAGAAUCCAACGCUUCUCUCUCCUUUCCCAAUUAUAUUCACAAUCUGAUAUGGGAUUGGCUGCAGUUCUCCAUUGAUGAUACGGAAAUCACCACUUAAUCCUUGUUUUAGCACUGUGUUUCGCAUAGAGUCAAUGAGCAGAGAUCCCACUGCUGACGUUCCAAGUGCAUCUAAGUCUGUUAAGUUCUCUCUGGUGUCUGGUUUCUUUAAUUUUGGGAUAGCAGUAGUGCCCACUUUAUCUAUUGCUUCUGCUAAUGAGGUGAUGCUAUCGUAUGCCCAUAGCCCGAAAACAUUGAGUUCUAUUUGGUCCAUGUCUGGAUACUCUUGACGGAAUCUCUUUCUCCAUCUUUUCGUGUAAUUGUUAAGCUGAUUUGAUCUUGGAAUAUAAGGUUUUAUACCAAGAACACCUUGCAUUGAUGACUCAAUGACUGAAUGAUCUACUGAGUCCAGAAGACUCGUUAGCACAUCUGUGAUGAUCCAUGCAUAUCCACUGCUCAUCAUCCCGGCUUCUUUGGCCUUGAGAAAAAGGCGGGAGGCAAGAUAUGGUCGCAAGUGCACGACGAACACCCUGGUCUGCUUUGUAUUCAUAUUGUAUAACUCCUUGAGAAUUUGAUCAUCAUUGGCUGACGGAGAAAUAACACUUCUAUAGGAGACUAAAGUGCUGAUUUCCAGUAAGGCAUCAGUCAAAUGUGGAACUAUCCCGAACCCAUAGGGGCUAUCCUCAUAGAUGACCACAACCUCUCUCCAAUCAAAUUUUUUAACAAGUGCUGCAAUGGCCUUAGUCUGGCUGGAAGAAGGCAGUGCUGCUCUGAUGAAGAAGGGAUUUUCCUUGACUGUAAGUAAAGGACUUGUUGCUGGAGAAAUUAUAGGGACUUUUGUUCUGUUCCCUAAGUCAAUCACAAAAUCAGUUUGUGUUGACAUUUGUGGCCCAAAAAUAGCUUGUACUUGGACAUCCUUUAGCAAGUAUAUGGCUGCACAUACACAAUCAGACAAUAAGAAUUUACCCAAAGUAAGAGUUUAAUAGAAGUGAAUCAUGGAACUGAAUUUACCAGCAGAUGUUGCUUCAACAUCAUCUUUCUUGGAAUCCUUGAUAUGAGGAACUAUCCUUAUGGCACCGCGACUAGUGUUGGCAUGAUAAUCUUCAAGUGCUAGUAAGAUAGAUAUGUGCAUUACUUUUCCCUACAUCUGUUUCCUAGAUCAAGAAUUAUACCCACAUCCACCUUUACAGCACUAGUGUUAUUAUCUUCACCUCUUAUUGGAAUUACAUAGUGGUAAAAGCUAAUGAUGGAGAUAAGUUGAAUGAAAAGAAUUAGAAAGUGGCAUCUUGGAUUAUGCAUUUGAAAAAACUCUGGUAGCAAGUAGUCUGAGAGAUGGGCAACAAGCAGUUGUGCUUGUGCAAGAUAACCACACAUUCAGAAUGAUAAAUUUUCCUAUAAUUAAUAAGACCAAACUCCAUAAAUGCAGAAACAAAAGUCAAAGAACAAAUGGUUGAAAAUCAAGUAUUCG